rnacentral:rRNA from 1 species
CCUACGGGGGGCAGCAGUGGGGAAUUUUGGACAAUGGGCGAAAGCCUGAUCCAGCAAUGCCGCGUGCAGGAUGAAGGCCUUCGGGUUGUAAACUGCUUUUGUACGGAACGAAACGGUCUCUUCUAAUAAAGGAGGCUAAUGACGGUACCGUAAGAAUAAGCACCGGCUAACUACGUGCCAGCAGCCGCGGUAAUACGUAGGGUGCGAGCGUUAAUCGGAAUUACUGGGCGUAAAGCGUGCGCAGGCGGUUAUGUAAGACAGAUGUGAAAUCCCCGGGCUCAACCUGGGACCUGCAUUUGUGACUGCAUAGCUAGAGUACGGUAGAGGGGGAUGGAAUUCCGCGUGUAGCAGUGAAAUGCGUAGAUAUGCGGAGGAACACCGAUGGCGAAGGCAAUCCCCUGGACCUGUACUGACGCUCAUGCACGAAAGCGUGGGGAGCAAACAGGAUUAGAUACCCCGGUAGUC